CCCCUUAUCAACGAAUUGCGGUAAGUCUCUCUCCUGCCUUCGCCGCCUGCUCCCUCUUUCUCCUCGUCGAGAAGAAAAGGGAUAUGGUUCCAUAAAUUUCAGAAAAAAAGAGACAGAGUGGAGAGAGAAUUAGACAUCUGAGCCCUGGAGCUAUUGGAAGUCGGUCGAUUAGGGUUCGGGAUUUUUAAACCCUAGCUGGGGGAGAGAGAUUUGGUGGGUGGGUGGGGAUGGCGACGCCAUUGGCAGGGGAUGGAGUUCUGGCUUUGAUGCCCCAGAAGCCGAUGAAUUCCAUCGAUCCGGCCUCGGCCUCGGCCUCGUCCUCGUCCUCGGCGCCCUCUUCCUCGAACGGAUGCAUCAAGAACUCGGCCCAGAAAUAUCCGAUCCUGGUAUUCUUGUAUUUCCAGAAGGCAAUGCGUUCGGAGCUCGAACGGCUCAACAGGGCGGCGGUCAAAUUCGCCACCGACCGCAGCGGGGACGUGCAGUCGCUCGCGGAGCGCUGCCGCUUCCUCUUCGCCAUCUACAAGCACCACUGCAAUGCGGAGGACGAGGUUAUCUUUCCAGCUCUUGACAUCCGUGUCAAGAAUGUAGCACGGACAUACUCUCUCGAGCAUAAAGGGGAGAGUGAUCUUUUUGAUCAGUUGUUUGAUUUGUUAAGCUCGGAUGUGCAAACUGACAGUUUUCGAAGAGAACUUGCUUCCUGCACUGGAGCCAUUCAAACAUCUCUUAGUCAGCACAUGUCUAAGGAAGAGGAGCAGGUAUACCCCUUGCUUAUUGAGAAGUUUUCAUUUGAAGAGCAGGCUGAUUUGGUCUGGCAGUUUUUAUGUAGUAUCCCUGUGAAUAUGAUGGCAGAAUUUCUUCCCUGGCUUUCAGCUUGUAUUUCACCUGAUGAACAUCAAGAUAUGUUAAAAUGCAUGUGCAAGAUAGUACCAGGAGAAAAGCUUCUUCAAAAGGUUAUAUUCAGCUGGAUGGAAGGAAAAGGCACUACAAACAUGGGGCAGAGUUACUGUGAUGAUUCUCAACUACAGAGCAAUCUCAGAUGUGGGCCUGGCAAGUUGGUUGAUUACACUGAGAACUACACAUGUGCAAGUGGACAUUCCAAUAUUGGAAAGAGGAAACAUACAGCAUCAGAAUGCAGUGCUGUUGAUGUUCGGGGGUUGCACCCAAUAGACGAGAUAUUGCAUUGGCACAAUGCUAUCAGAAAAGAAUUAAGUGAUAUAGCAGAAGAAGCAAGAAAGAUUCAACUUUCCAGUGAUUUUUCUGAUUUGUCUGCCUUCAAUGCAAGACUACAAUUUGUCGCUGACAUAUGCAUCUUCCAUAGUAUUGCUGAGGAUCAAGUCAUAUUUCCGGCGGUAGAUGGGGAAGUCUCUUUUGUGCAGGAGCAUGCAGAAGAACAAAGUCAAUUUAACAAGUUCAGGUGUUUAAUUGAACAGAUUCAAAGUGCAGGAGCAAAUGUAACUUCUGCAGAAUUCUGCUCUGACUUAUGUGCACAUGCUGAUGGAAUAAUGGACACCAUUCAGAGGCACUUCUGUAGUGAGGAAGCAGAGGUUCUUCCUCUUGCCAGGAUACAUUUUUCUCCUGAGAAGCAGCGGCAACUUCUGUACAAGAGUAUAUGUGUGAUGCCACUGAAACUGUUAGAGCGUGUUUUACCAUGGUUCAUCUCAAAGCUAAGCGACGAGGAGGCAAGGUCCUUUCUCCAGAAUAUGCAUCUGGCAGCUCCAUUAUCUGAAACUUCACUUGUUACUCUUUUCUCUGGAUGGGCAUGCAAGGGUCGAUCCCAGGAUAUUUCCAGUCCUGGCAAGUUCAUAUGUUUGACUUCCAAGGCAAUUGGUUGCUGUCUUUUAAAUGAGCAAAAUGAGUUAGAAGAAGGUUGCAAUCAAAUGGUCUGUGCAUGUGCUUGUCCGCUUAGCAAUAAGGACAAAUCAUCACUUCUGCAAUGUGAGAAAGAUGCUAGGCCAGUUAAACGAUGCAACUUCUCAGAGACAUGUGGACAUGCUAAUGAAAAUGGUCAUUCAGAGACAGUUGAAAAUGAAAAAUCAUCAUGUAGCCAAAAGCCUUGCUGCGUACCUGGGUUAGGAGUUGAUAACAGCAACUUAGGGAUAAGUUCACUGGGUGCUGCAAAGUGUCUGCGUUCAUUGUCUUACAAUUCUGCUGCUCCUUCUCUAAAUUCUAGUCUCUUUAAUUGGGAGACAGACUUUAUGUCAUCUAAUACAGAAAAAACUGUGAGGCCAAUUGACAACAUCUUCAAAUUUCAUAAAGCAAUCCGCAAAGAUUUGGAAUAUCUGGAUGUUGAAUCAGGAAAGCUUAUAGAUUGUGAUGAGGCUUUUCUUCGGCAGUUCAGUGGGAGAUUUCGUCUUUUGUGGGGUCUAUAUAGAGCUCAUAGUAAUGCUGAGGAUGAUGUUGUAUUUCCAGCUUUGGAAUCAAGGGAGACUCUUCAUAAUGUGAGCCAUUCAUACACUCUAGACCAUAAGCAGGAGGAAAAGUUAUUUAAAGAUAUAUCUGAAGUUCUUUCAGAGCUUUCACAAUUGCAUGAUAGCUUGGGAAAGACAAAUGCUAAAGCUGAUGCAGCUGGAAGUGACUUCAAUUCUUCUGGCGAGGGUAUUGAUUGGAGAAGGAAACAAAAUGAGCUUGCUACGAAGCUUCAAGGCAUGUGCAAAUCUAUUCGGGUGACUCUGGAUCAUCACGUUUUUAGGGAAGAACUUGAGUUGUGGCCAUUGUUUGACCAACAUUUUUCUGUGGAGGAGCAGGAUAAGAUUGUUGGUCGCAUAAUUGGAACAACAGGAGCAGAGGUUCUCCAAUCAAUGUUACCGUGGGUUACUUCUGCACUUACUCAAGAAGAGCAGAACAGGAUGAUGGAUACAUGGAGGCAGGCAACCAAAAACACAAUGUUUAAUGAGUGGCUAAAUGAAUGGUGGAAGGGUGCUCCUGUAUCAUCACAGGAUGCAACGGAGUUUUUUGUUAUUUCAAAAGGAACUGGAUACCAAGAAAGUGUCGACCAAAGUGACCAGAUGUUCAAACCUGGCUGGAAAGAUAUAUUUCGGAUGAACCAGAAUGAACUUGAGUCAGAGAUACGGAAGGUUUCUCGAGAUCCAACGCUUGAUCCACGAAGAAAGGCAUAUCUUAUUCAAAACCUCAUGACAAGUCGCUGGAUAGCUGCACAGCAGAAGUUACUGCAAGCAAAAACAGAGGAAACAACAGAGGGGGAAGAUGUACCUGGAUGCUCUCCGUCAUUUCGAGAUUCAGAAAAGCAAAUGUUUGGCUGUGAGCACUACAAAAGAAAUUGCAAGCUCCUUGCUGCGUGUUGUAAUAAGUUAUUCACAUGCAGAUUCUGCCAUGAUAAAGUCAGUGAUCAUCCAAUGGAUAGAAAAGCAACAACUGAAAUGAUGUGUAUGCGAUGUCUUAAGAUUCAACCAGUUGGCCACAUGUGCAAGACCCCCUCAUGUGAUGGAUUCUCGAUGGCCAAAUAUUAUUGCAAUAUCUGCAAAUUUUUUGAUGAUGAAAGGACUGUGUAUCACUGUCCAUUUUGCAACUUGUGUCGUGUUGGAAAAGGACUUGGUGUUGACUUCUUUCACUGCAUGAAAUGCAAUUGUUGCUUGGGAAUGAAAUUAGUCACGCACAAGUGUCAGGAGAAAGGAUUAGAGACAAACUGUCCUAUAUGUUGUGAUUUUUUAUUUACAUCGAGUGCAGCAGUAAGAGCUCUACGCUGUGGCCAUUUCAUGCAUUCAGCAUGUUUUCAGGCAUACACUUGCAGUCAUUACACUUGUCCGAUAUGUAGCAAAUCAUUGGGAGACAUGACGGUCUUUCAUGUUCUGGUUUUAUCAUCAUUGACCUCAUUCACAAAAUAGAAGGGAAGUUGAGGAAAUGGCGUUCUGUAAGUUGGGGGGAUGUUCAGAGACUGAAUUUCUUCUGCCAUCAAAAUUGCCUAUGUCCAUGGUGGGCCAUUCUUCAUGAUUACCCUAUUGCUAAUUGGUGUAUGGGUUUAUUUUGGCAUGCUUGAUGCCUUGUUAGCUGCUGAAGAACUUCCCGAAGAGUACAGAGAUCGAUGUCAGGAUAUACUAUGCAAUGACUGUGGUAAAAAGGGGACGGCACGCUUCCACUGGCUAUACCAUAAAUGCAGUUUUUGUCCGUCAUAUAAUACGAGGGUAAUAAAGGCUGAUUCUUCUAUGUGCUCCACAUCAAAUUAAUGAGGGGUUUGCCUUGCUUUUCUUUGAGUUAUUUUCCCCAGGUGUAAAUAAUAUUCUUAUACCAACUAUGUGUAGUUUUUUUCUGUAAUGUACGCACCAGUUCAUAGCGAAUUCAUUUUUCACACGAAUUGAGAGAAUACAGUGGCUCUGUCCAACACUUUUUGCA